UAAAACCAACAACAAAACUAGUCCAGAAGCGCAGAACAGAAAGCAUUGUUCCCAAAACCGACUCCCGUCUUUCACUUUGGGGGCCCAGUUGCGGACAGAUUAACAUACGGAGAGAAUUCACAGAGCAAAUUGGAUUCUAUGAACAGGAACAAAAGCCAUGGCAGAGAGGACGGCACUCUUCAAGUCAGCAUGUGGAAGGGGAAAUGGACAUUGAAGGGCAAACAUUAUGCCACAAAGUCCUGGCUCCAGCAGCUUCCAACCUUGGUUCAGGAAAAGAAACGAUGAUGAAAUCCGAUCCCAGAAUGAACCUGGUGUGGAAAUGAGUGUCAUAUCUGGCUACUGCAGUGGACAGUUGGAUGGGAACCAGUGUUUCUGGUAUCUCAGCUCAUGUCGCCGGUGUGUUGGAGUCUAACAAGGAUGCAAUUCUCAGUCUGUUCUA